GAUGAACGCUGGCGGUAUGCUUAACACAUGCAAGUCGAACGGACUCUUCGGAGUUAGUGGCGGACGGGUGAGUAACGCGUGAGAAUCUGGCUUUGGGUUCGGGACAACCACUGGAAACGGUGGCUAAUACCGGAUGUGCCGAGAGGUAAAAGAGAAAUUGCCUGAAGAUGAGCUCGCGUCUGAUUAGCUAGUUGGUGAGGUAAAGGCUCACCAAGGCAGCGAUCAGUAGCUGGUCUGAGAGGAUGACCAGCCACACUGGGACUGAGACACGGCCCAGACUCCUACGGGAGGCAGCAGUGGAGAAUUUUCCGCAAUGGGCGAAAGCCUGACGGAGCAAUACCGCGUGAGAGAAGAAGUCUCUUGGGUUGUAAACCUCUUUUCUUAGGGAAGAACAAAAUGACGGUACCUAAGGAAUCAGCAUCGGCUAACUCCGUG
rnacentral:rRNA from 1 species